AGUCACUGACAUUAGAUACCCGUGUAGUCCAGGGUGUAAACGCUGCAGACUUGGUGUUGGGAACCCUUCGGGGGUGCUCAGUGCCGGAGAGAAGUUGUUAAGUCUGCUACUUGGGGAGUACGUCCGCAAGGAUGAAACUUAAAGGAAUUGGCGGGGAGCACCGCAACGGGAGGAGCGUGCGGUUUAAUUGGAUUCAACGCCGAAAACUCACCAGCAGCGACUGUUACAUGAAAGUCAGGUUGAUGACCUUACUAGAUUUUCAG
rnacentral:rRNA from 1 species